CUUGCGUGUUGAAUUAGUGUGUUUUUCUUUGUGUAACGACUCGAAAACCCCAAAAUUCGGACCCAGCGAAUUUAUACAAUAUAAUGGAAUAUAAACAAGGACAAGUUAAAGGUUUGACAGUUUGACUUUUUAAUUAACAAGUAUAAAUAUACGUUGUAGGCUCAUAAACAUGCGUUGUGCUCUUGUAUUUAUUUGCAUAAUUAUAAAUUUGCAUACCCUGUACUUUCGAGAUAUACAAUGGUGUUAUGGCAUAUGGGGCCCAGACAGUCAGAAAGGCAAUGAAAGGCAUAUUUAACCUCUUUGAAUUACCGGGUGUUUUAGAAUAUCAGUUUCGCGAAAAUCAUAUAGCAUUCAGUAUAACAUGUUUACUGAAUUGCAUUGGCAUAUGUAACGUCCUUACUGUGCUUCGGUUGUGGUCAAUAUCUUUGAAAUGUAACACAAUCCAACAGUAUAUUAUAAAUGAGCUUAUACUGAAAGAUGUGAGUGUGGGGAGGGCCGUAUGCCGAGCGAUUAAACCUGGUUUAUAUGCAAGGGAGAAAACACAUCUAUCUGGUUAAUUAUCGACCCAGGUUAAUGCUAAAUAAAAUGCAAGGGUAAGUUAUCGAAACCACUUAAAGAUUGUGCAUAUUUGACAUGAAAACAUGUAUGUAAUAUAAAAC